CCUACGGGAGGCAGCAGUGGGGAAUAUUGGACAAUGGGGGGAACCCUGAUCCAGCCAUGCCGCGUGUGUGAAGAAGGCCCUCGGGUUGUAAAGCACUUUCAGUGAGGAAGAACGCCUGGUGGUUAAUACCCAUCAGGAAAGACAUCACUCACAGAAGAAGCACCGGCUAACUCCGUGCCAGCAGCCGCGGUAAUACGGAGGGUGCGAGCGUUAAUCGGAAUUACUGGGCGUAAAGCGCGCGUAGGUGGCUUGAUAAGCCGGUUGUGAAAGCCCCGGGCUCAACCUGGGAACGGCAUCCGGAACUGUCAAGCUAGAGUGCAGGAGAGGAAGGUAGAAUUCCCGGUGUAGCGGUGAAAUGCGUAGAGAUCGGGAGGAAUACCAGUGGCGAAGGCGGCCUUCUGGACUGACUCUGACACUGAGGUGCGAAAGCGUGGGUAGCAAACAGGAUUAGAUACCCGGGUAGUC
rnacentral:rRNA from 1 species